GCCCUAAGCUUCUGCUAUAAUCACAAUAAAACUACACGAAUUGAGCGAUUCGCCAUCACAGCAGCCUAUUUUCUCACACUGGACUGUCACUCAUAUAAAUAAAAGCGAGAGAAGUGAACGGAGUAAACAAUUUUCUUGAGCAACUGACACUGAUGUGAGGGAUGCGAAACAAUGGACAGACUUUAAGGAUAACAGUACCAACGACUGCUGCAAUGUACUAUCCACGCACUAGGAGGGAAGUUCCAGUUAUGUGUGUUGAAAACCGGCGAUUAAACAGUAUGUCGCAGUUGUGGAAGAACGUCUGAUACCAUGCAUUCAAGGGUCCAUCGCAACAGUUACCGAUCCUCAAAUUGGCACCUCCUUCAUCGGCAGCUGGUAUUGGACCCGUAUUUACAUUUAACGAUUGCAUCGAACACAUCAAUCGGUGAUGCUAUCAACAU